rnacentral:rRNA from 1 species
AUUAAUACCUCAUGUGAUUAUGAUGCCGCAUGGUGUUAUAAUUAAAGUUCAGGCGCUUGGAGAUGGGCGUGCGUCCUAUUAGCUAGUUGGUGAGGUAACGGCUCACCAAGGCGACGAUAGGUAGGGGCGUGAGAGCGUGGCCCCCCACACGGGUACUGAGACACGGACCCGACUCCUACGGGAGGCAGCAGUAAGGAAUAUUGGACAAUGGGCGCAAGCCUGAUCCAGCCAUCCCGCGUGCAGGAUGACAGCCCUACGGGUUGUAAACUGCUUUUGUUAGGGAAGAAACCCCUCGAUUUAUCGGGGGCUGACGGUACCUUUCGAAUAAGCACCGGCUAACUCCGUG